AUUGAACGCUGGCGGCAUGCCUUACACAUGCAAGUCGAACGCGAAAGAGGGGCAACCCUUGAGUAGAGUGGCGAACGGGUGAGUAAAGCAUCGGAACGUAUCCAGUAGUGGGGGAUAACCCAUCGAAAGAUGGGCUAAUACCGCAUACGCCCCGAGGGGGAAAGUGGGGGAUCCGCAAGGACCUCACGUUAUUGGAGCGGCCGAUGUCCGAUUAGCUAGUUGGCGGGGUAAGAGCCCACCAAGGCGACGAUCGGUAGCUGGUCUGAGAGGAUGAUCAGCCACACUGGGACUGAGACACGGCCCAGACUCCUACGGGAGGCAGCAGUGGGGAAUUUUGGACAAUGGGGGCAACCCUGAUCCAGCCAUGCCGCGUGAGUGAAGAAGGCCUUCGGGUUGUAAAGCUCUUUCGGCCGGAACGAAAUCGCAUCUCUUAACACGGGGUGUGGAUGACGGUACCGGAAGAAGAAGCACCGGCUAACUACGUGCCAGCAGCCGCCGUAACAC
rnacentral:rRNA from 1 species